AGCGGCGGACGGGUGAGUAAUACAUGGGUAAUCUUUGCUUGAGCUCGGGAUAACCCCGCGAAAGUGGGGCUAAUACCGGAUAAGACCACGUAACCCAGGUUACGUGGUAAAAGGUGGCUUAUUCUUUCGGGUUUAAGCUAUCACUUGGGAAUGAGCCCAUGGCCUAUCAGCUAGUUGGUGAGGUAAAGGCUCACCAAGGCUAUGACGGGUAGCUGGUCUAAGAGGACGGCCAGCCACACUGGGACUGAGACACGGCCCAGACUCCUACGGGAGGCAGCAGUGGGGAAUAUUGGGCAAUGGGCGAAACCCUGACGCA
rnacentral:rRNA from 1 species